rnacentral:rRNA from 1 species
AUUGACGCGGACCCGCACAAGUAGUGGAGCAUGUGGUUUAUUAGAAGAUACGCGCAGAACCUUACCAACACUUGACAUGUUCGUCGCGACUCUAAGAGAUUAGAGUUUUCGGUUCGGCCGGACGAAACACAGGUGCUGCAUGGCUGUCGUCAGCUCGUGUCGUGAGAUGUUGGGUUAAGUCCCGCAACGAGCGCAACCCUCACUUUUAGUUGCCAUCAUUAAGUUGGGCACUCUGAAAGAACUGCCAGUGAUAAGCUGGAGGAAGGUGGGGAUGACGUCAAGUCCUCAUGGCCCUUACGUGUUGGGCUACACACGUGCUACAAUGGUAUCUACAACAGGAAGCAAGACUGCGAAGUUAAGCAAAUCCCUAAAAGAUACCUCAGUUCGGAUUGCACUCUGCAACUCGAGUGCAUGAAGCUGGAAUUACUAGUAAUCGUGGAUCAGCGUGCCACGGUGAAUGCGUUCCCGGGUCUUGUACACACCGCCCGUCACACCAUGGGAGUUGGUUCUACCUUAAGGCAAGGUUUUAAACCCUUGUCCACGGUAUAGUCAGCGACUGGGGUGAAGUCGUAACAAGGUAGCCGUAGACGAAUUC